rnacentral:tRNA from 1 species
ACUGGUGUGCCCAAACUGGUAAAGGGACUUGAUUCAAAAUCAAGGGUUUGUGGGUUCGACUCCCACCAUCAGUA